rnacentral:misc_RNA from 1 species
GUAAGAGCUUGUCGCACCCUUUUUGCGUCAUGGGUAGAAGUGAAGUGUUUAUGUCUAAUCUUCCGAGAAGACAGGACAUUCAACACAUCCGUUCCAGUUUUAUAGAUGACGUUCCUGUCGACAACGAGGAUGCUGACGAAUUCGUACGGAUACCCACCCAGUGCCCUUUCUCCGACCAAGCCUCCCUUGACCCCUGUUUUGAAAGAGGCGAUACUGGCACACAGGGUUACAAGUGGUGUUAUGGAGUGUGCCAAGCUCCUCCGCUGUAACCCUGACAACGUGAUGCUGUGCGUACUGCCUGAGGCGCGUGGACAGCAUGACGUCACACUGGACAUCCAACACACCCUCAUUGAGGCGUUUUGUUGGGAGAAUGACAUCCAACUCAUAAAGGUUGAAAAUACAGAGAAACUCUCCAGUACCUUAUGGAUGUCUAGAAACGGUAUCCACGACGUCACGGCGGAGGAUGAUGUAUUUGAUAUGAGCUGUAUUCUAAUACAGUACCCAGCAGUUAAGAGCCCACUCCGGUCACACUGUCGCCAGAGAGGACGGCCAAGACUGUUCGCGUCCCGGGACGUUCCGCCAUGACACAGCAGAGCACGAUUCACUAUCAGGAAUCACUUUUGUCGCAGUUCCUGGAGAAGCAGAAUUACUGCUGAAGACGGAGAGACAAUGGCCACAGAUGAUGUUCACUGGCAUGCUUAAGGGAUUGAUGUCUGCUUCAUGGAAGUGUUUAUUGCUUCAAAGGAAAAGUCUGCUUCAAAGAAGAAACCACUUCUUUGUAUGGAAAGGUCUGCUUCAAAGAAGAAACCACUUCUUUGUAUGGACAGGUCUGCUUCAAAGAAUAAACAACUUCUUUGUAUGGGAAGGUCUGCUUCAAUGACUAUUCAAAUUCUUUUUAUGGAAAGGUUGUUUGCUUUAUAGAAGGAUUCUCUUUUUCAAAAGCAAAUACCGUGUGGUUCAAAGAAGUGUCCAAGUUUCUCUUCCUGAAAUGUCGUCUGCUACAGAGCAACUCUGACUGAAUCAGUGAGACAUAUGGCUAGUGUGAUGUACAUCUCAUUCGCACAGUAAAUAAAACACGCGUAACAAUCUCUAAUUAAUGUUGCUGUUCAGAUUACAUCUUCCCAGCACUGUGAAUAUUGAU